rnacentral:siRNA from 1 species
AAAGCUUUCAUGGUGUAACCAAAG